rnacentral:rRNA from 1 species
AUUGAACGCUGGCGGCAGGCCUAACACAUGCAAGUCGAACGGUAACAGGAAGCAGCUUGCUGCUUUGCUGACGAGUGGCGGACGGGUGAGUAAUGUCUGGGAAACUGCCCGAUGGAGGGGGAUAACUACUGGAAACGGUAGCUGAUACCGCAUAACGUCGCAAGACCAAAGAGGGGGACCUUAGGGCCUCUUGCCAUCGGAUGUGCCCAGAUGGGAUUAGCUAGUAGGUGGGGUAACGGCUCACCUAGGCGACGAUCCCUAGCUGGUCUGAGAGGAUGACCAGCCACACUGGAACUGAGACACGGUCCAGACUCCUACGGGAGGCAGCAGUGGGGAAUAUUGCACAAUGGGCGCAAGCCUGAUGCAGCCAUGCCGCGUGUAUGAAGAAGGCCUUCGGGUUGUAAAGUACUUUCAGCGGGGAGGAAGGGAGUAAAGUUAAUACCUUGGCUCAUUGACGUUACCCGCAGAAGAAGCACCGGCUAACUCCGUG